rnacentral:rRNA from 1 species
GACGAACGCUGGCGGCGUGCUUAACACAUGCAAGUCGAACGGAAAGGCCCUGCUUUUGUGGGGUGCUCGAGUGGCGAACGGGUGAGUAACACGUGAGUAACCUGCCCUUGACUUUGGGAUAACUUCAGGAAACUGGGGCUAAUACCGGAUAGGAGCUCCUGCUGCAUGGUGGGGGUUGGAAAGUUUCGGCGGUUGGGGAUGGACUCGCGGCUUAUCAGCUUGUUGGUGGGGUAGUGGCUUACCAAGGCUUUGACGGGUAGCCGGCCUGAGAGGGUGACCGGCCACAUUGGGCCUGAGAUACGGACCAGACGGCAACGGGCGGCAGCAGUGGAGAGUAUUGCGCAAUGGGCGGACGCCUGAUGCAGCAACGCCGCGUGCGGGAUGACGGCCUUCGGGUUAUAAACCAGUUUCGCCUGUGCCGAAGCGUGAGUGACGGUAAUGGGUAAAAAAGCACCGGCUAACUACGUG